rnacentral:rRNA from 1 species
AGAACGAACGUUAGCGGCGCGCCUAACACAUGCAAGUCGAGCGAGAAAGGGCUUCGGCCCCGGUAAAGCGGCGCACGGGUGAGUAACACGUGGGUAAUCUAGCCUCGAGUGGGGGAUAACAUUCCGAAAGGAGUGCUAAUACCGCAUAAGACCACGUCCUCGAAAGAGGAUGCGGUCAAAGCUGGCCUCUAUACAUAAGCUAGCGCUUGAGGGUGAGCCCGCGGCCCAUCAUGGUAGUUGGUAGGGUAACGGCCUACCAAGCCGAAGACGGGUAGCUGGUCUGAGAGGAUGAUCAGCCACACUGGAACUGAGACACGGUCCAGACUCCUACGGGAGGCAGCAGUGGGGAAUCUUGCGCAAUGGGCGAAAGCCUGACGCAGCGACGCCGCGUGUGGGAAGAAGGCCUUCGGGUCGUAAACCACUGUCGAAGGGGAAGAUAAUGACGGUACCCUUGGAGGAAGCCCCGGCUAACUACGUGCCAGCAGCCGC